UAGGGAAUCUUCGGCAAUGGGGGGAACCCUGACCGAGCAACGCCGCGUGAGUGAAGAAGGUUUUCGGAUCGUAAAGCUCUGUUGUUAAGGAAGAACGAGUGUGAGAAUGGAAAGUUCAUACUGUGACGGUACUUAACCAGAAAGGGACGGCUAACUACGUGCCAGCAGCCGCGGUAAUACGUAGGUCCCGAGCGUUGUCCGGAUUUAUUGGGCGUAAAGCGAGCGCAGGCGGUUAGAUAAGUCUGAAGUUAAAGGCAGUGGCUCAACCAUUGUAGGCUUUGGAAACUGUUUAACUUGAGUGCAGAAGGGGAGAGUGGAAUUCCAUGUGUAGCGGUGAAAUGCGUAGAUAUAUGGAGGAACACCGGUGGCGAAAGCGGCUCUCUGUCUGUAACUGACGCUGAGGCUCGAAAGCGUGGGGAGCGAACAGG
rnacentral:rRNA from 1 species